GUAUUUUCGUGGUUUUCUUUACAUGACUUUCGUAUAAAAAAAUCGCCAUAUGCCUAUAAAAGCAGCGACCCUUUUCGUGCAUGGUAGUGUCUUGACCUAAUUAUCAUCUUUGGCGGUUUUGGCCUCCACUUCCUUCAAAACAAUCAUGUCCGCCUUGUGGAACCCACUGCUAACAACUGCCAGGAGAUACAUAGCGGGGCUAGCACGUUGAAUUUUUAUUACAUAUUUUUAAUAUGCAUUUGAAGAACACUUGACGGAGUAUGACGGCUAAGCUAAUAACCAUAACCCGGAAGUGCCGCUCAAGACACCGGAUUCGACGAAAUAUCCUUAAAGAAGGCUAAAGAAGGUGUUUCAGAGUGAUAUGUGUUGUCUUCAAAACGAGGUCCUCCCUGUUGAUAGCAGGCCAUACACACCCUGACGGGGGUGCUGCCCCAUCCCCUCUCUGGGACCGGCAUCCUGUGGCUGGAACAAGGGUGGCAGAAGCCCUCCCCACAUGAACGGCAAUGGUGCUUACGCUCCGCCUCCUCAAACACUUUGUGACAGCCAUGACAGGCCUAAAAGAGCAUAGAGGAUGAUGAUGCAAUUAAUAAAA